rnacentral:lncRNA from 1 species
CACUCUCGAUUGAUUUAGGAAGGUUUUAGGUCUCUUGGGAUUUACAUCUAAUGUAACCAUCUACCCCAUACCAUAUGUCAUUCGAUUUACAUCUUAUGUAAAUGUCAUAUUGGUUCAGGUUUACAUCCUAUGUAAUUAUGAAAUUCUUUCAUAUAUUAUGUGAUUACAUCUUAUGUAAAUGACAUAACUGUUUCAGUUUACAUCUUAUGUAAAUUUCCUAUUGUUUAAGGGUUUUAUUUACAUCUCAUGCAAAUAAAUUUUUGUUUAACUAAUACAUACAUCUCAUGCAUACAUUAUUUUAAACAUAAUCUUAAAUAAGCAUGAACAUUAUGAUUACCAUAUGCAUCUCAUGUAUAUUUUCAGAUCUGAAAUUUUAAACCUAUUAUGCUAUUCUCUGAAUUUCAGAUCAUGCAUUACUUGAUUUAAAACAUUGUAAUCUAAUUGCAAUUCUAAAAUAAUUUGCAAGAUCAUAACAAAUAAAAAUCUGCAUGCUGAAAAUUUCAGUAACCUGAAAUUUCAGCACGCAGAAAAUCCAGCAAGCAUAAUUCCUUUAAAAAUCAGAUUAAAAAUGUGGUAAUCAAUCCUUAGGUCCUAAUCAUGCUCCCUAAAACCAUGGCUCUGAUACCACUUGUCACGCCCUCGCCUCUUCGGGGCACGUGAGGCACCUAGUGCCCACGUGGGGGUCACAUAAGGAGGGACCGUGGGGCUUUCCUACCAGAUAUUGUCCGAUUCCGGAGCUUCACGCAAGCGUCCUUCAUCCCUCCUCGGUUUUGUUUUCCUCCCAAAAUGUGUCUGCAGGAUUAAAAAUUAAUCCCUAAUGACACAUGCCUUAAAUUCUCAACUUCUUGAAAUUAUGUGUCAUCAUCUAUUAAUUUCUUGGACGAUUCAUGGACACAUACAAACAUGAAUAAAAAAUAAAUUGCCCAAUCUUAUUUAUUAAUAAGUGUCAAAUUACAAAUUUAUGCCCAAGAUUACAAAUAUGCGUCAGCCCCAUUGGCUUCUAGGGCAUGCUUCUAACACUAUCCAUGCUCACAAAUCCAGCCUUGCUUCCUUAUCCGAAUCCCCUGUUCCCACCGAACUCAGGAUCCGUUCGUGUUUGUUCCCAGCAACUUCAUCUCUAGCAUUUCCAUCUCCACGGAUUGCGUCCCAGCUCCCCUGUUCCGCGUCCGAGUAUCCCGUGGCUAGCCGGAUGAACUUCUCGAUCGCAUCUUCACAUCCCGAUCACCUCUUACGGAUAAGUCCUAGCUUGUUCCAACCAUUUGCCUCUUCCCAGCGUCUGCGUAUGAUCAUCCAUCAAAUCUCAGCAUAAUCCAUCCUUAUCCAGCUGCCAACCAAGUUCCAAGCUUCUUCCGGAUCAUCUUCUACUCAACAAAUCCAACGUUCGGAUUAGAUAUGGCAAUAUUUCCCAUCAUCCGUGUAAGAGAUGAAGCCUCCACGAGAUUAUCCUCCCAUUCGGAUCAGCCACAGAGGAGGAGAGAG